rnacentral:lncRNA from 1 species
UAAAAAGACAGCUUAGUGACUGAAUACAGAUAGUCAUCCAGGGACCAAGAUGGCUGGCGAUGCUUGUGGCUUCCGCAACUGGUCCAGGCUCUAUCCAGAAGCUUAACCCUGAGUGAUGGAGACAGUUGUGUCCUGUGAACCUUCUAUUGCAAAACCCUCAUGUGAUGCCGCCUGCUGUUUAUAGCCUUCCAUUGUGUGGAGCUCUGGUCCGUGACAGGGCUGCAGUGUCCUUCUCAGGAGCACACCAAGAUGACUUUGUACUUAUACCAAGUGUAUUUAUACAUCAUCUUUCAAAACUAUUUUUAUUACCUAAACUAUAAUAAAUUUUGGCAUCUAC